GUGGGGAAUAUUGGGCAAUGGGCGGGAGCCUGAACCAGCCAAGUCGCGUGAAGGAAGAAGGAUCUAUGGUUCGUAAACUUCUUUUGCAGGGGAAUAAAGUGCAGGACGUGUCCUGUUUUGUAUGUACCCUGAGAAUAAGGAUCGGCUAACUCCGUGCCAGCAGCCGCGGUAAUACGGAGGAUCCGAGCGUUAUCCGGAUUUAUUGGGUUUAAAGGGUGCGUAGGUGGUUUGAUAAGUCAGCGGUGAAAGUUUGCAGCUUAACUGUAAAAAUGCCGUUGAAACUGUCGGACUUGAGUGUAAAUGAGGUAGGCGGAAUGCGUGGUGUAGCGGUGAAAUGCAUAGAUAUCACGCAGAACUCCGAUUGCGAAGGCAGCUUACUAAGCUACAACUGACACUGAAGCACGAAAGCGUGGGGAUCAAACAGGAUUAGAAACCCUGGUAGUCC
rnacentral:rRNA from 1 species